AACGAACGCUGGCGGCAUGCCUAACACAUGCAAGUCGAACGAGACCUUCGGGUCUAGUGGCGCACGGGUGCGUAACGCGUGGGAAUCUGCCCUUGGGUUCGGGAUAACAGUUGGAAACGACUGCUAAUACCGGAUGAUGACUUCGGUCCAAAGAUUUAUCGCCCAGGGAUGAGCCCGCGUAGGAUUAGCUAGUUGGUGAGGUAAGAGCUCACCAAGGCGACGAUCCUUAGCUGGUCUGAGAGGAUGAUCAGCCACACUGGGACUGAGACACGGCCCAGACUCCUACGGGUGGCAGCCUGAGACCCAAGGCACACAGGGGAUAGG
rnacentral:rRNA from 1 species